rnacentral:rRNA from 1 species
ACGAACGCUGGCGGCGUGCCUAACACAUGCAAGUCGAGCGGAGACAGUGAGUAGCUUGCUACGAACUGUUUUAGCGGCGGACGGGUGAGUAACGCGUGAGCAACCUUUCCCAGACAGGAGAAUAACACACCGAAAGGUGUACUAAUACCGCAUAAGACCACGGGAUCACAUGGUUCUGGGGUAAAAGAUUUAUCGGUUUGGGGUGGGCUCGCGUCCGAUUAGGUAGUUGGUGAGGUAACGGCCCACCAAGCCGACGAUCGGUAGCCGACCUGAGAGGGUGAUCGGCCACAUUGGGACUGAGACACGGCCCAAACUCCUACGGGAGGCAGCAGUGGGGAAUAUUGGGCAAUGGGGGGAACCCUGACCCAGCAACGCCGCGUGGAGGAAGAAGGUUUUCGGAUCGUAAACUCCUGUCCUUGGAGACGAGUAGAAGACGGUAUCCAAGGAGGAAGCCCCGGCUAACUACGUGCCAGCAGCCGCGGUAAUACGUAGGGGGCAAGCGUUGUCCGGAAUAAUUGGGCGUAAAGGGCGCGUAGGCGGCUCGGUAAGUCUGGAGUGAAAGUCCUGCUUUUAAGGUGGGAAUUGCUUUGGAUACUGUCGGGCUUGAGUGCAGGAGAGGUUAGUGGAAUUCCCAGUGUAGCGGUGAAAUGCGUAGAGAUUGGGAGGAACACCAGUGGCGAAGGCGACUAACUGGACUGUAACUGACGCUGAGGCGCGAAAGUGUGGGGAGCAAACAGGAUUAGAUACCCUGGUAGUCCACACCGUAAACGAUGGAUACUAGGUGUAGGGUGUGAUAAACAUUCUGUGCCGUCGCAAACGCAGUAAGUAUCCCACCUGGGGAGUACGGCCGCAAGGUUGAAACUCAAAGGAAUUGACGGGGGCCCGCACAAGCAGCGGAGCAUGUGGUUUAAUUCGACGCAACGCGAAGAACCUUACCAAGUCUUGACAUCCUGCUGACCGUUCCUUAACCGGAACUUUCCUUCGGGACAGCAGAGACAGGUGGUGCAUGGUUGUCGUCAGCUCGUGUCGUGAGAUGUUGGGUUAAGUCCCGCAACGAGCGCAACCCUUAUCUUCAGUUACUAACGCGUAGAGGUGAGGACUCUGAAGAGACUGCCGGGGACAACUCGGAGGAAGGUGGGGACGACGUCAAAUCAUCAUGCCCCUUAUGACCUGGGCUACACACGUGCUACAAUGGCCACGACAGAGAGAAGCGAAAUCGCAAGGUAGAGCGGAACUCAAAAAAGUGGUCCCAGUUCGGAUUGUGGGCUGCAACCCGCCCACAUGAAGUCGGAGUUGCUAGUAAUCGCGGAUCAGCAUGCCGCGGUGAAUACGUUCCCGGGCCUUGUACACACCGCCCGUCACACCAUGGGAGUUGGGAGUGCCCAAAGCCGGUGAGGCAACCGUAAGGAGCCAGCCGUCUAAGGCAAGACCAAUGACUGGGGUG